rnacentral:rRNA from 1 species
GUGGGGAAUCUUCCGCAAUGGACGAAAGUCUGACGGAGCAACGCCGCGUGAGUGAUGAAGGUCUUCGGAUUGUAAAGCUCUGUUAAUCGGGACGAAAGAGCCUAGUGUGAAUAAUGCUAGGAAGUGACGGUACCGGAAUAGAAAGCCACGGCUAACUACGUGCCAGCAGCCGCGGUAAUACGUAGGUGGCAAGCGUUGUCCGGAAUUAUUGGGCGUAAAGCGCGCGCAGGCGGAUCUGCCAGUCUGUCUUAAAAGUUCGGGGCUUAACCCCGUGAUGGGAUGGAAACUACAGGUCUAGAGUAUCGGAGAGGAAAGUGGAAUUCCUAGUGUAGCGGUGAAAUGCGUAGAUAUUAGGAAGAACACCAGUGGCGAAGGCGACUUUCUGGACGAAAACUGACGCUGAGGCGCGAAAGCCAGGGGAGCGAACGGGAUUAGAUACCCUUGUAGUCC